UGCAUACAGCAGUGCUUCUCAAAUAGUGGGGCGCGCCCCCCAGGGGGGGCACGUGGCUCCGUCAAGGGGGGCGCGUUUGACCUCGGGGAACAUGCUUUUUUAUUUUUCUGAUUUAAUUUUUUUUGAAUUUAGAAUGCACUUUAAAUCUUUUCUGUUACAUUUAAUAAAGCUAUUCUUUGUUGUAAAUUGGUCCAUAUUUCUUUCUUUUUUUAUUCUCUUAUACGUUAAUAAGGAUACAGUGUUAUGCAGAGGUGUACUUAUAACAAUUUUAUAGACAAAUGAUACUAUUUAUAGUCGCGUGGGGGGCGCGAGAUGUUUUCUUCUUCCUAGGGGGGGCAUGACAGAAAAUAAUUGAGAAGCACUGGCAUACAGCAAGCAAGCAUUUUGA